CUGAAAUUCAACAAUACAAACUUGCGAAUGCGGAUCAGAUAAAUACAUACGUUUGUUGCAUUUAACUAUAAACAAGAAUGGAGGAUCACGUGCACAGCUAUGUUGUUUGGAAUAACAAAGGAGGAACAGGUAAAACGACUAUGGUAUUUCAAGUAUCAGCUGAGUUUGCAAAGAAAAACGAGAACCAUAAGGUAGUGGUGAUAGAUUUGUGUCCACAAGCAAAUGUUUCGGAAACUUUACUGGCGUCAACAAAAGA